CCACCACUAAGCCAGUGGUGAACUCCACAUACGCAUCCUUUGCUGAGGAUACGGUUAACGGAGCGAAAGCGACGUUCAACCUCAAAAGAAGCAGAGGGGGCUUAGUGGUGGGGUGACUGCGUACCUUUUGUAUAAUGGGUCAGCGACUUAUAUUCUGUAGCAAGGUUAACCGAAUAGGGGAGCCGGAGGGAAACCGAGUCUUAACCGGGCGUUAAGUUGCAGGGUAUAGACCCGAAACCCGGUGAUCUAGCCAUGGGCAGGUUGAAGGUUGGGUAACACUAACUGGAGGACCGAACCGACUAAUGUUGAAAAAUUAGCGGAUGACCUGUGGCUGGGGGUGAAAGGCCAAUCAAACCGGGAGAUAGCUGGUUCUCCCCGAAAGCUAUUUAGGUAGCGCCUCGUGAAUUCAUCUCCGGGGGUAGAGCACUGUUUCGGCUAGGGGGCCAUCCCGGCUUACCAACCCGAUGCAAACUGCGAAUACCGGAGAAUGUUAUCACGGGAGACACACGGCGGGUGCUAACGUCCGUCGUGAAGAGGGAAACAACCCAGACCGCCAGCUAAGGUCCCAAAGUCAUGGUUAAGUGGGAAACGAUGUGGGAAGGCCCAGACAGCCAGGAUGUUGGCUUAGAAGCAGCCAUCAUUUAAAGAAAGCGUAAUAGCUCACUGGUCGAGUCGGCCUGCGCGGAAGAUGUAACGGGGCUAAACCAU
rnacentral:rRNA from 1 species